rnacentral:tRNA from 1 species
GGGCGGAUAGCUCAGGGGUAGAGCGUCGCCCUUACAAGGCGAGGGUCGCAGGUUCGAAGCCUGCUCCGCCCA